CGAACGAAUUACCUUCGGGUAGUUAGUGGCGCACGGGUGCGUAACGCGUGGGAAUCUGCCCCUUGGUUCGGAAUAACAGUUGGAAACGACUGCUAAUACCGGAUGACGACGUAAGUCCAAAGAUUUAUCGCCGAGGGAUGAGCCCGCGUAGGAUUAGGUAGUUGGUGUGGUAAAGGCGCACCAAGCCGACGAUCCUUAGCUGGUCUGAGAGGAUGAUCAGCCACACUGGGACUGAGACACGGCCCAGACUCCUACGGGAGGCAGCAGUGGGGAAUAUUGGACAAUGGGCGAAAGCCUGAUCCAGCAAUGCCGCGUGAGUGAUGAAGGCCUUAGGGUUGUAAAGCUCUUUUACCCGGGAUGAUAAUGACAGUACCGGGAGAAUAAGCUCCGGCUAACUCCGUGCCAGCAGCCGCGGUAAUACGGAGGGAGCUAGCGUUAUUCGGAAUUACUGGGCGUAAAGCGCACGUAGGCGGCUUUGUAAGUAAGAGGUGAAAGCCCAGAGCUCAACUCUGGAAUUGCCUUUUAGACUGCAUCGCUUGAAUCAUGGAGAGGUCAGUGGAAUUCCGAGUGUAGAGGUGAAAUUCGUAGAUAUUCGGAAGAACACCAGUGGCGAAGGCGGCUGACUGGACAUGUAUUGACGCUGAGGUGCGAAAGCGUGUGGAGCAAACAGGAUUAGAUACCCUGGUAGUCCACGCCGUAAACGAUGAUAACUAGCUGUCCGGACACUUGGUGUUUGGGUGGCGCAGCUAA
rnacentral:rRNA from 1 species